rnacentral:lncRNA from 1 species
CAGAGCCGGAGCUCAUGUGCGCUUUAAUGGUGGGAAGGCUUGGGACGGGGCAUCAAGAGCAGCAUCUUAUCAAGUUGGUGUAAAAAUGAGACAAGAUCCAGACAUGUUCUUUACACUGACAGUUACAGUCCAUUUCAAAAUCCAACCAGCCAUUUGAAUCAUUUCUUACAAAACAAACACAAACGCAGGUUGGUGCCCAGUGCAGUCCGCAGGGCCAGGUUGGCCCUACAUCAUGGGUGCAAUGGGCGCUGGGGACCAGGGACCAACCCUCCCUGCAGAGGGCAGGAGCAGGGCCUGGGCGGCGCAUGUGCACAGUAGAAAGAGGGUGUGGGGCCCCCAGGAGCCUGCCACCUUCACAGGAUGGGGACCAGCCCUGGGGGUCUUUCCCAGGAAUGCAAUAAAUAUGGGAAUCUAAACGGAUUGACAACCACCAGCCAGCCUGGGCAACUUCACACGGUACAAAAGGCUCAGCCCGGCUCUGCCGGUCCCACUGGCUCUUCACAGACCAAAGCGUCUCCGAGUCAGCGGCUCGGGGUCCCCGGCACCCACUGGGAGGUGGCAGGUGGGUUGGAUGUGUGUCACAGUCCUGCUUCCGCAGCUGCCAGGGGAAGCGGCGGUGCAGGGCCUGGGCGGGUCCCACCGGCAGGACCCCCAGCCCCCGUGUGCCCGUGUGAGCGUGGGGCGUCACACGGUCCCUGGUGAUGGGCCCGCGGUGGCCGGGGCCUACCCUUCCCGCACGCUCACUCGAGGCUCGGCCAGAGAGCUGUGGAUGAUGUUGAUGAUGGACUCCAGGCCGCUGCCCUCCAGCAGUGUGCGGUGGUCGCCCUCGAUGACAUGCACGGACACCUUCCCGUCACACACCUGCGGGCGGUGCCUGUGAGCCAGGCCGAGCCGACCGCGGCUGGCCACCCGCCUGGGGCAAGCCCGCCAGCUCACCUGCGAGAGGUUGUAGUCGGCGCCCAGGUCCUCGCCGUAGGCCCCUCCCGUCUUGGCCCGCAGCAGCGUCACGUUCCCGUGGUACUUGGCCUUCGGCGUGUACUGCUCGAUGGCGCGCAGCUUGUGGUAGAAGGACAGGGCAGCAAAGCUCAGCUCCCGCCGGCCCAGGCCCUGGUGGCUCUGGGUGAUGAGGUCCACGGCGGCAGCCACGCGCUCCUCCAGGCUCCUCAGGGGCAGCAGCGCCUCCAUCACCUGCAAGGGAAGCUCUGAGUGUGGCAGCAGAGCCGGCCGGCCCGGGCCUGGGGCAGGGGCAUGGGCCCUGUACCCACCCUGCCGUGCUCCGCGUCGGUGAACUGCUGCACGAAGAAGCACACAGCCUCCGCCUCGGCCUCGGCCUCGCAGCCAGGGGUCAUCUUGGCGCGGUAGCUCUGCGGGGGGGGGGGGCAGUGGCUGCAGUGAGGGGCACGCAGCCCCCCAGGCAACACCCGCCCGGGGCCAGCACCGGGAGGCCCGGCCGCGCGGCUCUCACCUGGGUGUAGGCCAGCACGUAGGUGUGCGAGCCGUCAAACAGGAAGAGGCUGUGGUGGGCAGGGGCCGGGCCCUGCUGGGCCUGCAGCUGGGAGCACAUCUCGAAGGCCACGCAGGCCCCGUAGGAGUAGCCGGCCAGGCGGUAGGGCCCUUCGGGCUGCACCUGCUUGAUGCAGUCGAUGUAGUAGGCGGCCAGGCUCUGGAUGCUGUCCAGUGGGGCAGCUGGAAUGGCAGCAGCAGGUGCUCAGCGAGAGGGGCCUCAGGCUGGGGCCGCCCGGGGGAGCGGGCACAUACCCUGGGUGCACUGCAGGCCGUAGGUGGGCACGCUCAGCUUGGCGGCCAGGUUUUGGAACACGGUGGUGGAGCCCUCAAUGGGGUGCACCAGGAAGAGUGGCCGUUCCGUGUUCUGGACUAAGUUGAGCCGAGUCAGGGUGGGGCCCUCGGGGUUCACCAGCAGUGUGCUCAGGUUCAGCUGGGCCUGUGGCCGCACCUGGCUGCCAUCCUUGGCCUUGGGGGAUGCCAGCUCUGGGGAGAUAGAGCAGAUGCCAGGCUGGCUCCAUGCAUGUGCCCGCAGGCACUCCACCCGCUGCAGGCCCCCUUCCCCGACUGCCACCACACGCACCUCUGUCUGGGCUGGGCCUGGAGGACAGCUCCUGCAGCUUCCGCAGUGUGAGCUGUCGCACCUCACGCAUGGACAGCACCAGGUCAUACUCCCGCUCCAGGGUCUGGCGCACCUCUACGCUCAUGAGCGAGUCCAGGCCCAGGUCCGCCAGUGAGAUGUCCAGGUUCAUUCCAGCCAAGUCUCGGAUGCCUGGGGAGGGAAGUGCGAGGCGCCAUUCGAGAGGGGCUGGGGCGGGGCUGGCCUGAGUGGGCACUGGGCUGAGGCUGGGGUGCUGGGCCCAGGGGUCUGUGCCUGCCAGCAUCCUACCACCGUCUGGCCAAGCCCUGCAGAGUGCUGCAUCUCACAGUCCUCCCUUCUGCAGAGGGGGAACCUGGGACUCGGGUGACACAGCCCUGGGCCAGGGCCUCUGGGAAGGUCCCACGGACAGUGCUCACCCAGGAUGUGGGCCACGGCCUGCAUCAGGUCGAGCUGGCCUUUGCUGUCCCUGAGGGCCGCAGCCUUCUCGGCCAGCACGAAGCUGCUCAGGACGGCGUGGGGCUGCUGCAGGAAGAGGUCCAGCACCUCCAGGCAAGAGGCAAUGCGCUGGGGCACCGUGCCGCCCACGACGAUAUCGUCGCCACCCAUCACGUCCAGCAAAAUGCCCACGUCGCCAAUGGCGCCCCACUGCACGGCGAGGCCUGCGGGAGGGGUGCGGGCGGUGAGCGAGUGAGGGUGGGCAGCGGGCGGGGUGGGGCGUGGGUGCAGGCGCAGGGCUACCUGGGAGGCCAUCGUGCCGGCGCUGCUCACAGAUGCGCUCCAUGGCGGAGUUGGCGAAGCCGUAGCUGCUCUGACCCAUGUUGCCACGCCCGCAGCUCACCGAGGAGAAGGCCACGAAGUGGUCCAGCUGCGGGCAGGCUUCUCGGGUCACCCUGUGGGCGCUGCUGUCACUCUCUGGCCACUGCUGUACCCGGACCCCCGCUCCCACACCAGCCCGGACGGCCCAAGGCCGCCCCGACCCACCUGUCCAGGUUGAGCGUGCCGCUGUACUUGGGCCUGCUGACGUCCUGGAACUGCUCUGGAGUCUGGCCCUCCAGCAUGGCGUCCCUCAGGACCUGGGGGGAGGCGUCCUCAGCACCUGCUGCGGCUCUGUCUCACCCAGCUUUGCCACCCCGCUGCACUGCAGAGCUCUGGUGCAGGCGCCCCCCCUUACCACAGCCAGGUUAAAGACUCCUCCGACCGGCCCAAGCUGUGCGGCCUCGGACAGGAGGGCACGGGCCCCCUCCAGCGAGCUGGCGUCUCGGGUGGACACCAGCACCUGCAUGCCCCGGCUCCUCCACUCGCUGACCUGCUUGGCCUGGUAGCCUGCGGGACGUGGGUUUGGGACUGAGAAAGGCAGCGAGAGGGGAGCAGCCCCCAGGAAGGACAGGCGUGCGCCCCACCCGGGCUGCCCACCUGUGCGGAUGCCAGAGCGAGAGGUCAGCACAAGCUUCCGGGCCCCCCGCUGCAGCAGCCACUGGGCCAGCUCGAGGCCGAAGCCGCCCAGGCCCCCUGCGAUGACGUAGGUCUUGUGCGGCGGACAGAAAGUCUUGGAGAUGGCAGCCACGGGGGCUGGCUGUGCUCCUUGCAGCCCGGACUCUCGCUCUUCCUCUUGUACCUGCAGCCAAGCAGGAGCCGAUCAGAAGCCCAUGAGGGCCGGAGCUGAUCAGAAGCCCAUGAGGGCCGGAGCUGCUGGGCAGCUGGGUGCUCCCCUCACCUGGACAAGGACUUUGCCAAUGUGCUUCCCCUGGGCCAUGUAGCGGAAGGCAUCCUCCACCUUGGCCCUGGGGAACACGGUGCACUUGAGGGGCUGCACCACUCCGUCGCGGAUGCCAGCCUGCAGGAGGCCAAACACCUCUCGCCACUGGGGGUUGUCCUCCUCCAUGAGUGCGUCCAGCAGGAUCCCGUGGAAAGUGACGUUCUUCAGGAAGAUGGCCAUGCCUGGGCGGGGCGGGCCACACUCAUCAGGACAGCUGCCCCACGCCAGGGCUUACCAGCCACUGCCCACCCCGGGCUGCUGGCCUCACCAAGCGGGUGGUUGUUGGAAAGGUCAAAUUUGCCAAUCUCCAGAAAGCGGCCGUGCUGGGCCAGGCACCUCACGCUGGCCUGCAGCUUCUCUUCCGCCAGGGAGUUGAGGACCACGUCAACGCCUGCACAGGAGGCAGCCAGGUCCUUAGGGCACGGCCCCGCCCACAGUGCCCGCCCAGUGGCCAGGGCUGGGCAGCGCUCACCUUUCCCGCCCGUGUGCAGCAUCACAUGCUGUUCGAAAGACGUGUCCCUCGAAUUGGCGAAGCUGGUCUCGUCCAGCUGGGGGAACCUGGACUGGAGGUAGGCCCGCUUCUCAGCCGAGCCUGCAGAGCAAGAUGCUGAGUGGGCUGCGGGCCAGGCGCCGGCGGGGCGGGGUGUGCAGGCAGGGCAGGGCCUUACCCACGGUGGUGAAGAUGCGGCAGCCCAGGCUGAGGGCGACAGCGAUGGCGGCCUGGCCUACCCCGCCUGAGCCCGAGUGGAUGAGCACAGACUCCCCGUGCCUUAGGCGGCCCCGCACCACGAGCGCGUAGUAGGCGGUGCUGUAGACCACAGGCACGGAGCCCGCCUCCUCCAGUGUCCUGAGGACACAGCACAGGUCAGCCAGGCCUGGGCACUAAGCGGCAGCCCGCAGGGGCCCCACCUUCAGCCCAGCCCACUCACCAGCUGGAGGGCACAUCCCAGAGGAAGGCUGACGGCACCAGGACAGAGGUGGCCAGGCCUUCAGAGGGCACCAGCCCCAUCACACGCCGGCCCAGAGCAUCACGACCUGAGAACUCCAUGCCCAGCAGGCAGUCCCGGUUGAGUGACUUCCCUGGGGCAGAUAAGUGAGCCUGCUGUUAGUACCACACUUCCUUCUCAGGAGGGGAAGCUGUGGCCCUGCCC